rnacentral:rRNA from 1 species
UACGUAGGGGGCUAGCGUUGUCCGGAAUCAUUGGGCGUAAAGAGCGCGUAGGCGGCCCGAUAAGUCCGCUGUGAAAGUCAAGGGCUCAACCCUUGAAUGCCGGUGGAUACUGUCGGGCUAGAGUCCGGAAGAGGCGAGUGGAAUUCCUGGUGUAGCGGUGAAAUGCGCAGAUAUCAGGAGGAACACCAAUGGCGAAGGCAGCUCGCUGGGACGGUACUGACGCUGAGGCGCGAAGGCCAGGGGAGCAAACGGG